GAUGAACGCUGGCGGCGUGCCUAAUACAUGCAAGUCGAGCGAACGGACGAGAAGCUUGCUUCUCUGAUGUUAGCGGCGGACGGGUGAGUAACACGUGGAUAACCUACCUAUAAGACUGGGAUAACUUCGGGAAACCGUAGCUAAUACCGGAUAAUAUUUUGAACCGCAUGGUUCAAAAGUGAAAGACGGUCUUGCUGUCACUUAUAGAUGGAUCCGCGCUGCAGUAGCUAGUUGGUAAGGUAACGGCUUACCAAGGCAACGAUGCAUAGGCGACCUGAGAGGGUGGCCGGCCACACUGGACCUGCGCCGCGGCCCAGACUCCUACGGGAGGCAGCGGUAGGGAAUCUUCCGCAAUGGGCGAGAGCCUGACGGAGCACCGCCGCGCGGGUUAUGAAGGUCUUCGGAUCGUAGAACUCUGUUAUUAGUGAAGAACAUAUGUGCAGGUAACUGUGCACAUCUUGACGGUACCUAAUCAGAAAGCCACGGCUAACUACGUG
rnacentral:rRNA from 1 species